rnacentral:misc_RNA from 1 species
UAGAGUUGUAAAACUCCCAAACCCAUGUGAACAUACCUCUGUUGCCUCGGCGGCCUGCCCGGCGGCUACCCUGUAGCAGCCCCGCGGUCCGCCGAAGGACUACAAAACUCUUGUUUUUAACGAGUAUCUUCUGAGUAACGUUUUUAAAUAAAUAA